rnacentral:lncRNA from 1 species
UACAGAUUGUUUUGAAGUAGACUGAAUUUGCUUCUAUAAUGAUCUUUGUUUUAAAUUCAGAUUCUCUAUAAGCACUUGCCUAACUCGAGAAAACUUCCAGAUUAUGCUAUCGAGAAAGCUAAAGAGUUGAUGCAUUUAAAACCAAACAAAAAACUGCUACAAAAAGAGUUGAUCAAAUCCACAGGCAAAAUUAUCACUCUUAGAGAUCUUUCAAACAUUGCUGCUUUAUCUAAGAAGGUGGAAAGCAGGAAUGAUAUCACAACCUUUGUUACAACUUUAAAAGAAAAAUAUAAUGCUAAUGUUGAAGUUUUAUUAGAUUCUGACAGCAAUUUGAAAGGGAUUUUUUUUCAAGACGAUUUUAUGCACAGUGCGUACAAUUCAUAUCCAGAGUUCCUUUGUUUUGAUGCAACAUAUAAACUGUUACAAAUUCGUCUGUCUGUUUAUAUUAUACUUUGUGAAGAUAGUUGUGGUUAGUGUGUUUCUUUAUACAUUUUGUGAUAUAAUUGAUCAUCAUCCCUAAAUUAACUUUUGUAAAUAAUACUGAUAACAGUUAAUUUAGGAAUGUAUCAACCAAUCACAAAAUGUAUAAAGGAAAUGAACAAUUUUACAUAUUCAAAUACAAAUAUUUAUUUUUUAUGAUUUUUUUUCUUCUUUUUUAAUCUAAUUUACUUCUAACAAGGCUGCAAGCAACCACUAUUAAGUAAGGGUUACUUUAAAACAAAGAAUAGAGUUAUAGAGCAAGGAAGAGGCUGAAUCAAGACUUAAAAGGUUUAAGAUUUUAAGAGGUUUUAAGUUUUAAGAGUCAGAGGUUGUAGAUUUUAAGAGUAAGAGUUUAUACAUAAAAAAUACAUUUUAAAAUAACAAAAACACAUAGCAUGAUAACUGACUGUGUUCUUUUUUCAUAUUUCUACUUAUUCUAAGCCUGUAUAAGGUUUCCAAAUAUGUUUCCCAGAAUCAUUUAAAUUUAUGUUCACACAGAGAAGACUAAUCGGACGAUAAUUGGAAGAGUUAAAAUGUUGCAUUGUUGCUAACUUUUUUUUUAAUUAAUUUUAAUUUUAUUAAAAUAGGUGAAAGUGAAGUAGCUGUCGUUGGUUUAAUUACAAAUGAAGAUGCGGCAUCAUUGAGUUGGUUUGUAGAAACAUUUAAAAGAAACAACUGUUCCUGGUCUAAAACUAAUGCCAUAAUUACGGACAAAGACUUAAACGAGAGAGAUGUUUUACGUGCUUCUUUUCCUGAUGCAUCUCUUUUACUUUGCCUAUUUCACACUCUUAGAACAUUUAAUCGUAAAAUUUCCACUGUAAAACUUGGCAUCACAAGUGGUCAACGAACGUCUUGUCUAGAACUCAUUCAAAAAUUAGCAUAUGCAAGAUCAGAGACACAGUAUAAUGAAUUUUAUAACAUAUUUGUUUCUUUAUCGCCAACUACAGUUCUUGACUAUUUUAAUAAUAAUUGGCACAACAUUCGUAAUGAAUGGGUCUUUGGCUUAAAUUAUGCUUGUGCUAAUUUUAUGAACACCACUAACAAUCGUCUCGAAAAUUUUAAUGGAAAACUGAAAGAAGUGGUUGAUUGUAAUAGUACAUUAGAAAAUUUUCUUGAAAAUUUAUAUGUUUUGUUAGCCUCAAUGCGAAAUGAGUGAGAUCACAAAACUAUUUUCAAAAUGCAGAAAAUUUGUAUAGACUUUUUUGAACCUAAUUCAGCUGAAUCAGAAUAUAAAAAUAUUUUGACAACAUAUGCAUUUGAGCAAGUAUUGAAACAAUUUUCCUUGCAUUCAGAAGUAAAUCUUUUUUGUGACAAUGAAAACUAUAUUGUUAAAAGCAGUGAAGGUAUGCUUAUAGUUACUUCUGAUUCGUGUGGUUGUAUGUUUAGAAAAUCAAUGGGUCUGCCGUGUCGCCAUAUCUUCGCAGUUCGCCAGUUGCUAGGUUUGAAUCUAUUUGAUGCCAAGCUAUGUCUAGAAAGGUGGACAACAAAGUAUUAUCGUCAGCAUCAAAGAGUUUUUAAUACUUCUUCCAAAAUUAAGGAGUCUUGUGUGCAGAUUAGUGUUGCUCCAAGAAAAAAACAAUCCUUUCUCAGCAUGAAAAGUUCAAACUUGCACUUCGUACAACUUCACUAUUAGCUACAUUGGUUUCAGAGCCAACUGGACCUUCUUUUGAACAGAGAAUGGGUCUUCUACAAGAACUGCAGAAGGGUUAGGAGCAUGGCAAAGUCAUGGUGUUAAAUGAACUUAUUGAGACAGACUUAGGGGUAUCUGAUAUAGUCUCAAAUCAAACUUUUUCAGAUGCAGGAGCACCAACUGAUGUAGAUUUAAUUGAAAUUUUGAACAAAGAGGAGGGAAAUGAGAUUGAUUUUAGAAAUGUGUCUUCAGCGCAAUAUGUUACUGUCAAUAAUUCGCAACAAAACCAAGAAGAAUGUUUUGUUGUGCAGGACGAAGCAGGUUUAGUAGAUACUCAGUUAAAAAAGAUUUGCUUGCCUCAAAGUGUUGUCCAUUGUGGACGACCUAAAGGUGCAUACAACAAUAGGUCUUCCUAAAAAACGUCUUUGUCGGUCUUCUGAUGUGCAGUUCCUUUUAUAAAACUUGAACCGGCUAAAAGACAUGCUUUGAUGCUUGGUUGGUUUUUAAAAGCUGACGACGUACAGAAAGCUCUUUCUGGUAUCCUUAUCAAUAAGAGUGCUGUAGAAAAAAGACCGAAUUGUAUUCCCUCAUCUAUACUUGAUGAAAGUGCAUUAGAGUUACUUUCUUCAUUGCAAAUAUACUUUAGCUCGGAUGCAUGGAAAGCACUUGAUAAAGUAAUCAAGGCUAAAAAAAAUCAGCAUAUCUGGCCAUGUGCUGUAUGUCUGAAGAGCACAAGCGAAGGAAAUAAAACUGGUAAUGCAAUAGCAUGUGAUUCAUGCUUAUUGUGGUCACAUAAAAAAUGUGUGGGACAAAAAGAGAAUUCCUUUUUAAAAGCAAGGUAUUGGUUUUGUCGCACUUGUUAUG